rnacentral:lncRNA from 1 species
AGAAGGAGCUAAGGGCUCCCUGGUUCAAAGGGCCGCAGCCCCGAGGGAAUGCCCUCUUCGUGUGCCCCGGGGUGCAGAAGCAGACUGCAGGGCGGUGGGACCAGCCUGGGCCACGUGAAAGAAAGAGGCAUACAUCUUGAAUUUCCCCCCAUCCUUCUAGAAAGAAAAUGAACAGGGUGGGGUGUGAGGCAAAGGCACUGGAAGCUAUGCCUCUGAAAAACAGUCGUCCUGCGGAGAAAGGUCACCUACAGACAGUUGAAGAAAGAAAUGUCAUGUGGGAAGGAGAUGGGUAGGAGUAGCCCUUGGGAAUUGUGUAAUGGAGGCAUGAAGUGGGAGCAAACUUGUAAGGAGCGAUCAUUGAGAAUGGGAUGCCUCCUCCAGUGCCAACUUUUGCAAACAUUUCAAGUAUCUUGCUGGAGGUCUGGAAAAUGGGCAGCAAGAGAGCACCAUUUGCUCUAGGAACGCUGUAGGCUGUUUCACCUCCAUUGCUAAAACAGUUGGGGGGCAUUUUGUUGUUUGCAUUUCUCCUCUCUUCUGAGACUCAGAAUAACAAACUCAAGUGGUUGCCCUCACCCUUGUCUAUCUUCCUCAGCAAACUUGACAUCACGGAAGAAACAUGACAUGUGGAUUAUUAAAGAGCAACUGGCUGACUUUUAACCCUGGGUGCAUUGCUCAGACCCCAUUACCUGUGCAUUUAUACCGGGAAGAAUUACAGGGUAUAUGAGCCACAAAGAGGAGAUGACAAAGCAGAGU